UCUAAGGGACGAGGCCAUAGCUCUAG
rnacentral:piRNA from 1 species